rnacentral:rRNA from 1 species
AGAGUUUGAUUAUGGCUCAGGAUGAACGCUGGCGGCGUGCUUAACACAUGCAAGUCGAACGAACCUUCGGGUUAGUGGCGGACGGGUGAGUAACGCGUGAGAAUCUGCCCUCAGGAGGGGGAUAACGGUUGGAAACGACCGCUAAUACCCCAUAUGCCUAUUGGUGAAAUGAAUUUCGCCUGAGGAUGAGCUCGCGUCUGAUUAGCUAGUUGGUGAGGUAAUGGCUCACCAAGGCUUCGAUCAGUAGCUGGUCUGAGAGGAUGAUCAGCCACACUGGGACUGAGACACGGCCCAGACUCCUACGGGAGGCAGCAGUGGGGAAUUUUCCGCAAUGGGCGAAAGCCUGACGGAGCAACGCCGCGUGAGGGACGAAGGCCUCUGGGCUGUAAACCUCUUUUCUCAAGGAAGAAGAUAUGACGGUACUUGAGGAAUAAGCCACGGCUAAUUCCGUGCCAGCCGCCGCGGUAAUA